GAGCGAGCUAGAGCGGCGCUUGCUGGAGAGAAAACAGGAGCAGGGCAAAAGUCUUCGGACCACGUCUUUGACAUUUGAAUUUUUUAGGAUAAAUCCACGAUUUUAACACACGUUUUUUGGAGGGUCUACUGCUGUUCAGAAAAAGAACAAUUGGCACGGUACUGUGAAAUCUCAAGAAGUGAGUUUGAGGCUGAUCCGAAUGCCUGUGGUCCUCCACGCACCCCAGAGACAUAUGACGCAGCGGUUGCUGAUCUCCAGGCUGACAACAUCCAAGGCGUCAGAGGAAUAAAGUGGAAAUAUGGGUGACUCAGAGCGAACCUUCCUAGAUGUUGCCAUUAUGGAAGCCCUACCAGAACUUCCAGCGGUGAACAAAAACAUCCUGGAGGAGCACUUACAGUCCAUUGGAGUCGAGACCUCUGAGGAUCUACGCUUUGUAACAGAGGCAGAUUUAAUGACCGGACUAAGACCUGUGCAAGCCAGAAAGCUUAUUUCUAUUUGGAAACAGAAAUACCAAACUCCCGAGAACAGCUCAGGACAGCUAUCAUCUGUGGAAUCGCUGUCAUCGCUCUCUCUUUCACCCAGAAGUUCAACGUCAACCCGGGCAUGUCAUUUCGCCGCUACAAAAUGCUAUUUUUAUACCUCUUCUACAGUUCCAAACAACAUUACACUUUUGGCUUUCGGUUUGGCUUUAGGGACCCUCUACUCACUACCACGUGUUUUUUCUUGAUAAACCCAGAAAAAGGAACCAAAGUAGAGAACAAAAACUCCAAGCGUCAUCUCAACUUGAACCCUCGCGUCCUCACCCUGAUACAGGAACUCUCUGAUCACGAGUGGUGUGCCUAAAUAUGGACUCUUUCUGUGGACUCUGACUGUUUGUUUGAGAAGAGGUACUGUUAGUCUUUGCUAUGUUUAAAUCCAUGAUUUGUAUUAUGGUAAUUAAGGCACAAUAUGUAAGUUUUAUUUUAAAGUCUUCAAGGUGCACUAUGUAACUUCUGGUAGAGGGUCUGCCAUCUUCUUGUUUCAUGAAGAUCUUAUACUUUGCAGGAAUGUUCCAAAGUAUGGUAUAAAACUUAUUUACCUUUCAUUUAUUCAAUUAGAGCUGUUUUUAUUGCAAAAAAUACCUUAACAAACUGUGAGGGGGCUCACCUCUCCACAGAUCUGAUCUGUAAUUUGGCCUGUUGGCAUCACCUGAUUGUCUCCAUGGAGAUAUAGUUUUAUGCCAUACUGUGGAACAUUCCAGACAGGGAGAGUGUGGUGUUGUUGUUAUGCACCUGGCACUUAAACUUUGUGUGACAGAAAUAUGUUCAGAUUUAAAGAGGUUAAUGUCCAGAUUUAGUGAGGCUUGUCUUCUGGAUUAUUUCAACUUGGAUUCAGUCAAGGUUAAAAGAACCAUUACAUGUAGGUUCUUUGCAUGUUGUUUGUAUACGUUGAAAAGAAAACACAUCCAACUGUUUUAUGGCGUACUGUGGAACAUUCCAGACAGGGAGAGUGUGGGCUGUUGUUGUGCGCCUGGCACUUAAAGGAGAAUUCCGGUGUGAUAUUGACCUAAAGUGUAUCGAAACAUGAUACCGAGUGUGAACGUAUGUCUCAUAGCCCAUCUCGGCUUGUUCCCUGCACUCCAAAAUCUGGCGCUAGU